GAUGAACGCUAGCUACAGGCUUAACACAUGCAAGUCGAGGGGCAGCAUUGGAGUAGCAAUACUUCAGAUGGCGACCGGCGCACGGGUGAGUAACACGUAUCCAACCUGCCGCUUACUCGGGGAUAGCCUUUCGAAAGAAAGAUUAAUACCCGAUGGUAUAAAGAGUUCGCAUGUUCUCUUUAUUAAAGAAUUUCGGUAAGCGAUGGGGAUGCGUUCCAUUAGGUAGUUGGCGGGGUAACGGCCCACCAAGUCUACGAUGGAGAGGGGUUAUGAGAGGAAGGUCCCCCACAUUGGAACUGAGACACGGUCCAAACUGCUACGGGAGGCAGCAGUGAGGAAUAUUGGUCAAUGGACGAGAGUCUGAACCAGCCAAGUAGCGUGAAGGAUGACUGCCCUAUGGGUUGUAAACUUCUUUUAUAAGGGAAUAAAGUGAGGGACGUGUCCCUUUUUGUAUGUACCUUAUGAAUAAGGAUCGGCUAACUCCGUGCCAGCCGCCGCGGUAAUAC
rnacentral:rRNA from 1 species